UAUCUGGUUGAUUCUGCCAGUGACAUAUGCUUCUCUCAAAGAUUAAGCCAUGCAUGUGUAAGUGCAAGCCAAAUUAAGGUGAAACCGCGGAAGGCUCAUUAUAUCAGUUAUGGUUCAAUAGAUUGUACCCAGUUACUUGGAUAACUGCGGAAAAACUGGAGCUAAUACAUGCCAACGGAGUUCUGACCAGAGAUGGAAGGAACGCUUUUAUUAGAUCAAAACCGAUCGGUUGGUUUCGGCCACCGUGAAUUUUGGUGACUCUGAAUAACUUUGAGCGGAUCGCACGGUCUUCGUACCGGCGACGCAUCUUUCAAAUGUCUGCCUUAUCAACUUUCGAUGGUAGGUUCUAUGCCUACCAUGGUUGUAACGGGUAACGGGGAAUCAGGGUUCGAUUCCGGAGAGGGAGCCUGAGACACGGCUACCACAUCCAAGGAAGGCAGCAGGCGCGCAAAUUACCCACUCCCGGCUCGGGGAGGUAGUGACGAAAGAUAACGAUACGGGACUCAUCCGAGGCCCCGUAAUCGGAAUGGCAACACUUUAAAUCCUUUAUGGAGGACCUAACUGAGGGCAAGUCUGGUGCCAGCAGCCGCGGUAAUUCCAGCUCAGUUAGCGUAUUUCAAAGUUGUUGCGGCUAAAAAGCUCGUAGUUGGAUCUGUGGCUCGCACUGCCGGUACACCGCCCGUCGGUGUCGACUGGUACGCUGCGAGGCGUCAUGCCGGUGGCGCGUCAGCUGUCCCUCCGGGGUACGGGCGGCGCCAAUAAAAUCCUGUCGCGGUGCUCUUGAUUGAGUGUCGAGAUGGGCCGGCACGUUUACUUUGAACAAAUUAGAGUGCUCAAAAUAUGGCAGGUUUGCCUGCAUACAUCUGCAUGGAAUAAUAGAAUAGGACUUCGGUUCUAUUUUGUUGGUUUUCGGAACCAGAAGUAAUGAUGAAUGGAGACAGGCGGGGGCAUUCGUAUUGCGACGUUAGAGGUGAAAUUCUUGGAUCGUCGCAAGACGCACUGAAGCGAAAGCAUUUGCCAAGGAUGUUCUCGUUGAUCAAGAACGAAAGUUAUGGGUUCGAAGGCGAUUAGAUACCGCCCUAGUCAUAACCAUAAACUAUGUGAACUGGCCUUUGGGGAGAUGUCCUCUGAUGCACUCCCCAGUAGCCUCCGAGAAGUCAAAGUUUUUGCAUUCCGGGGGAAGUAUGGUUGCAAAGCUGAAACUUAAAGAAAUUGACGGAAGGGCACCACCAGGAGUGGA
rfam:Lupinus angustifolius cultivar Tanjil contig_53975, whole genome shotgun sequence.